GGUCUUAUGGCGCAAUUGGUUAGCGCGUCCGACUGUUAUCAUCAACACCUAAAGGUGCUUGAUCUAGGAAUCGGGAGGUUCGAAGUUCGAGUCUUCGUAUGACCG